rnacentral:lncRNA from 1 species
CGGAUUUGGGGCGGAUUUUCAAAAACCCGAACCCGAACCUGACUUCAAAUCCGAGAGCUGAACCCGAACUCGAACCCGACGGAUUUUAAAAAUCUAUAUCCAAAUCCGAACCCGACCAAAAAUCUGAAACCCAAAUCCGAAUCCAAAAAUUUGAAUCCGAAACAAUUAUUUUUUUUUUCAAUAUUUCAAAAUAUUAUUAUAUUAAAUCUAAAUUUUUAAAAUACAAAUUAAAAUAUAACAUUAAAUUAUAUAUAUAUAUAUAUAUAAUACAAAAUAAAUUCGAGUUCGGGUUGGGUUCGGAUUCAGAUCGGGUACAGUCAAAAUCUAUAUCCGAAUUCAUAUUCGUGGGUUUCUAUUUUUAAUAUCUAUAUCCGAAUUCAUAUCCAUUUAGCAUAGGAUAUAUCCGUUUUAUUCGGGUUCGGAUUCGGAUGAAAUUUCGGAUAUUCAUACCCAUUUACAUCC